AUCCUCACUUCGGCAGCACGUAUACUAAAACUGGAACGAUAUAGAGAUUAGCAUGGCCACUGCGCAAGGAUGACACGCAAAUUCAUGAAGUGUUCCAUAAAAGU